GAUGAACGCUGGCGGCGUGCCUAAUACAUGCAAGUCGAGCGAACAGACGAGGAGCUUGCUCCUCUGACGUUAGCGGCGGACGGGUGAGUAACACGUGGAUAACCUACCUAUAAGACUGGGAUAACUUCGGGAAACCGGAGCUAAUACCGGAUAAUAUAUUGAGCCGCAUGGUUCAAUAGUGAAAGACGGUUUUGCUGUCACUUAUAGAUGGAUCCGCGCCGCAUUAGCUAGUUGGUAAGGUAACGGCUUACCAAGGCAACGAUGCGUAGCCGACCUGAGAGGGUGACCGGCCACACUGGAACUGAGACACGGUCCAGACUCCUACGGGAGGCAGCAGUAGGGAAUCUUCCGCAAUGGGCGAAAGCUUGACGGAGCAACGCCGCGUGAGUGAUGAAGGUCUUCGGAUCGUAAAACUCUGUUAUUAGGGAAGAACAAAUGUGUAAGUAACUAUGCACGUCUUGACGGUACCUAAUCAGAAAGCCACGGCUAACUACGUG
rnacentral:rRNA from 1 species